GGACUGGGCUGGUACAUGCUCGCCUUUUGGCUGUAAACUCCUCGUGGGAAGGCUUGUGGGAUGAGGAUAAGUGGGCUCUGCCUGGCAGCACUGGGGUACGCUCACGUCGGGUGACUCUGCACCACCUGCCCCCAGCCUGGCUGUCCAGCAGGAACUGCAGCUGCUGUCUGGUGCUGCUGGUCCUUGUUUCUUGGCAUGAGAUGUGGAAAGCUGCCAUUCCAUCUGAAGGGAGCAAAAUCUGACACAGGAGACUGCCAAGGCUCGUAGUGGAACAGUUUAAAGCAAAAGGAGAACAUCUUACCAAGUGACUGCGGCUGGAUUGGCACCCCAGUUUUACCCUUAUGGCAAUUUAAGAAUUUUCACAUGAAGAAAAAGAGGAAAAAUCCCACCUUCCAGUCCAAAGAAGGCUCUUUUACAAAUACAUCCAUUGUGCUGAUGAGGAGAUCGGGAUCCCUACGAUAAGCCCUUAGGGCAUGCACCAUCACACUGUAAAUGAGACCCCACUCUUUCACUGGCAUCAUCAGAUUAACAAACUGGCGAGUCAGACGAAAGGGCAUCAACUCUGGCACACCCAAGAACUAGCCAAGGGGAAGGACAGACAAAAGAAAACAAGAUUUAAGAAACCUUGGAACAGAAGAAUUAGAAAUAAGCAUUUUGCUCUUUUUAAGCUUUGAAACCCUCUUUGUCACUUAGCUGAAAAUAACUUGCAACACAAUAGAACAGGACCAAGUUGUGACAUCAAAGCUCUAGUCAGGAAUAUUUAGUGACAGUGGUUGAAAGCAUGGCUGAACUAUACAAAACACCACCAUAUAGACUCCAUGAAAUUCUAUAGCUCCCUUCAUGUCUGAGAAUAUCUGAAAACACAGAUUUUACUCUAUUAACUAGAAAUAACUUGUAAAGAUUAUUUUGCAUCAGAAAAAUGGCAAAUGAGGAGCAAAUUCAGUACUGAGAAUACAAUGCGUAAUCGCACCUAAUAAAUGCAAAAGCUGUAACAAAUUAAUUAGAGAACAAAUACCUGCGUAGCUGAGCCAAAUGCAUAUCCAAAGUCUAUUCCCACCAUGCCACCUGUCUCCUUGUUAAUCAUGAAGUUGGACAGAUGUCUGUCUCCAAUACCAAGUAUCCAGUGGCUGAUGGACAUCAGUGCGUGAGAGCUGGCAAAAUGGGACCGCAGGGACAGGAAGGCUUCAGGAGAUGUACUCAUUUUCACAAAGGCUCGCCUUAAAAUAGAAUUCACUUGUUGCACACAGCUAAAAAGCCAACAUCGGUUUCACAAUGUGUAGUCAUUAACAGCGCACUUACCGCAGCAGGUCUUCUGGAACGCUACUUUCCCUGCUUUUGAAAGACAUCACUGUUUCUGUUCGGCUAGCGUUUCUACAAAUGAAUGAAGGAAUAACGUUAGCUACUGAAAUAACAGCCCACCAGAUGUUAAAAGUCAAGAUGUGUACAUGACUGCAUUGGCACGUCAUAACCCAGUGAGCAGUACAGCAAGCAAUGCAGAGUUUGCCCAAAAUUGUUUAUUUGAUAUUAGAAAUACCCCCUCCUCUCUUUUUCUCCCAACAGUUAUUUCCCUGACUGACAUUUCUUAACACAAACCUAUGUAGUUCUGUCAAUUUUCCCACAGAUUAAUUAGAUGGGUCAAGUUUUAAUGCAGCAACAUUACUGUGCCCUUUCUGGUUGGACAGUCUCUUCCAAGCAGAGAAACCUAUUAUCGUGGCCUUUCAGUACUUAAAAGGGGCCUAUAAGAGAGAGAUUUUAGCAGGGCCUGUUACGACAGGAAAAGGGGUAAUGGUUUUCAACUAACAGAGGGGAGAUUCAAGCUAGAUGUAAGGAAGACAUUUUUUACACUGAGGGUGGUGAAACACUGGCAUAGGCUGCCCAGAGAGGUGGUGGAUGCCCCAUCCUUGGAGACAUUCCAGGCCAGGAUGGAUGGGGUGCUGAACAACCUGAUCUAGUUGAAGAUGUCCCUGCUUAUUGCAGGUGGGGGUGGACUAGAUGACCUUUGAAGUUCCCUUGCAACCAAAACCACUUUAUGAUUCUAUGAAACUAAGGCCCUAAUUAGGCCUCUCAGCAGCUUGCAGAGGCUACACUGACACUAGGAAUUAGUGCAGCACAAAGGGAGGCAGCAGCACUGAACAGGUGGUGCUGAGGACAUCCAUGGCCUACACAUUUGGGGAGGGUGACUGCUCUGGCCUAGCCCAUGUCUGGUCCUGGGACCUCAGCGCUGGUGAGCAGCUGGAAUGUGCCUGGGUGUUGUCCUCCCAGUCAAGUUUCCUCUGACAGGAGCCAGUUUAUGUAUGAGGAGACAGCUCAGCCACGGAAGCCAGCGUGAGAUGAGCGGGGGUGGUGAUCGGGAAUUUACUUCAAAAGCACGACUGAAUACAAGUAUUAACGUAGACACAGCUCAGUUAAACGAGUCAAUUUUCCUUUAAAAUGCAAGACACUUACUUAAGCAGGUUAUUAGCUCACCAGAAACAUUCCACCACAAAUUUCACUUCCCCCUGUGCUACAGUGCUAGAUCUAAGCAGGUGUAGAAAUUCCUCCAAGAGGAUGCUCAAGUCACGACCCCAAUCAUCAAAUAUUCUCAAAUUCUCAGUGAAUCACAGUGAUUUUCUGUCCAACUUCAGCAGGUGCUCUGACUCUGAGGCAGCUUACCUAACUGCAUAAUUAGGAAUAAGACACGUAGUAAAUAAAGUUGAAGAGGAGCAUCUGCCUCUAGACACUUCCUUAAGGAAGUGAGCAAGCUUCUGGAAGCCUUCCUGUGCUCUGGUGUGAUUUUGGCAGUAUUAAACUCCUCCUGCAGAGCACCUCCAGUAAGACAAAGCAGUACAGCAGGCAAAACAAAACAAAAAAAGAAGAUCUAGCCACCAUAUUAUAAUGCAGAUCAUAUUUUUCCUGGAAUCUCUACAACUCUGUGUGUGUGUGUGUGUGUGUGUGUGUGUGUGUGUGUGUGUGUGUGCACACUCCAGUUACUGUAUUUUACAUGCAGUUCUCUUUUAAAACCUACCUGUACAUAACAUGGUAUCGAGAGAUGCCUUGUGCUUUCCCACUCAUCUUGUACAGCCACUCAGAAUAGGUAGCACGAGGUCCUUUUUGGCUAAGGAAAGAAAAAGGUGCUGAUGAUUUUCUUAUAUUUUCUUACCAUUCUGUACUUGAAUACCCCCAGGCUGUGCUGCUAUAACAGAGGAGGUUUUUAUGCACAGGAGGAGUCAGGAAGCUACAGCCUAUGUUAAUUUUAGCCCUGCUAUGGAAAUUAUGUUUCUGCAGUCAGCGCAUAGGCUGAUCCAUCCAUCCAUCUCCUUCCCCCGGCUUUGAAUGCACUUCAGUCAUAUGUGACAGGAGAUUAGACAUCUCAAAGGUGUUAAUUUGUCAAUAGGUACCGUGAAAAUUAGAUGCUGCCUUGAGAAGAAAGGCCCAAAAUAAUUUCUCCAGGGAGGGAAAGAUAUUUUUAACACAGUCUUGUAUCCAUUUGAGAGAGCAUUAUGCAGCCUACCACAGUAUGUGCUGCUGUUUGUGCAUCCAAACAGGUAGAGAAUGCAGGAAGGACAUCUGUUAUCUCCUCAGUGUGUAAAAGAGAGGAGGAAUGGGGGCUUGAGGUAUUAACCCAUAAGCAGCUGGUCUUCAUUAGUUGCACUGCUUAUAGAAUAUUUUUUCUUAUAGAAAUAUUUUUCUCCCAUAUUGACUAAAUACACAGGACAUUAAACUUCUGUUCCAGAGAGGCAGCAACUCAGCAAGCACCUGCCUUCUCUCUUCCUUCCAAAGCAAGUUCUGAGAUACAGAGCUCCUUUCCAUGUAAGAAUUGUUUAUCAUUUAUAGACGGUGCAGCCCAUCACUUUGGGAUAAAGAAAAGGACUACAAAACUUCAGAAAGUCAUUCCCUCUGUCCCAACCAAAAUAUCGCCUGCAAGGAUUUAAUCAGAAUUUUCCUUUGCAAGUGCUGUCAUUCAACCAUAGCUCAAUAUAAAGGGUCUUAAUUGAAUUGGUUGAAGAACAUGUGGGAAAAUAUUUAAAGUCUAUACAUAACAAGAAAAUAAAGGUUUUUUUUUGAUAAAUCAGUAACUUUUUUUAGAAAGACACUGAUGAUCUACAUUUAGUAUAUUAUUAUGGAAAUUUUCUCCUCUUAUGAGGUGGUUCCAUGUGAGUCCUCCUCCACUUUCCCAGUCAAUGAAUUGAGACCAACAUAAUAACACUGCUGUUCACAAAAGUGAAGCAUACAGCAGUAACGCAAGAAGAACUAAACUGCUCACAAAUCAAAUAACUGUAGAAAAAAAAAAAGAAAAGGCUCUUUGGAGUCCAACCUCCACGCUGGAGGUUCCUCCCACCUGCCCCAUAAACAAGAGAAUAGUAAAAAUAAAUGG